GAUCCUCACCUAGCAUAGCAGGCUAACCAUGUUCUCACACUGAUCCUCACAUAGCAUAGCAAGCUAACCAUGUUCUCACACUGAUCCCAACCAUGGUCUCACACUGAUCCUCACCCAGCCAUACAUGAAUAUGUAAAAAUGGACAACCAGCAGCAUUCCAGUUCGCUGGGCAUUACCUCACUAGCAUAGAGGUGGUUAGAUAAGGACACUACCAUAGAGGUGGUUAGAUAAGGACACUACCAUAGAGGUGGUUAGAUACAGGACAAUACCAUAGAGGUGGUUAGAUAAGGAUAAUAGCAUAGUGGUUACAUAAGGAUACUAGCAUAGAGGUGGUUAGAUACAGGACACUAGCAUAGAGGUGGUUAGAUACAGGACACUAGCAUAGAGGUGGUUAGAUACAGGACAAUACCAUAGAGGUGGUUAGAUACAGGACACUACCAUAGAGGUGGUUAGAUAUGGACAAUAGCAUAGAGGUGGUUAGAUACAGGACACUAGCAUUGAGGUGGUUAGAUACAGGACACUAGCAUAGAGGUGGUUAGAUACAGGACACUAGCAUAGAGGUGGUUAGAUACAGGACACUAGCAUAGAGGUGGUUAGA